UGAAUUUCAGCAUUAAUAUAUGUUUCUUUACCAGGAAAUCCAGAUUAAUAUGGUCUGGAACAAUUAAAUGAAUUUAAAGUUAUUUCAUUCAUUUAGGGGAAAAUGAUGCCUAUUAUCUGUAGCAAAGACCAUGCUGAAUUAUCUCUGAAAAUAAUCUUAAUCCUCUACUUUCCCUUUUCCCCCGCUUUUUGCAUUUUUUUUCUUCCCACAAAAUAAGUCCUUGAUAAAACCAAAGUUACUAAAGAUUAAGCGAGGAAUUAAAAGAUACCAAGAUUGUCUUUAAGGUCCUGUCUCAAUGUUUCUUAAAAUUUGAAUAUAUUUUCCACAGCAUUGCAUUUUGGCUGUCUUAGGCAGAAGCAAGCAUAUGAGUUUGUGAGUCAAUUCUCAGUAACUAUUUGUCUUCUAAAUUUGUACAAAAUAGUAGGUCAAUAAUACCUAAUCCUAUUUGAGGCAUCACAUUUCAGCUUGGGACCACAGAGCUUCUCCUAUCAGCUAUGGCCACAUGAACCUGUCUUUGGCAACUGAGUGUUGCAACUUGGUCCCUCCCAGUCUGCCACUAUCCCUGUUGGAUUUAAGGAGCCCAGUUUGAUGACAGCAGUUCCCUCUGUCUUUCCUGGCCUGCAAAGAACAGCCACCACAGAGCUUUGAGGAUGCUGAGAUUCCCCUCAUGAAUGACUCAUUGUUCAGGCCUCUGGGAAAACUUCCCCACUUCUCUUGCCCAAAGUCCUUGAAACAAAAAUGCUGUGAAGGUUGUGUGCUGUGGUGCUCUUCACCCUGGAAAGGACACAGCUUCAUGGGGAGAAUAUGAGCAGAGGAAACAGUGAGAAGAAAGAUGAAUGAACUUGUCAAAUCCUUCCUAUCAGAGAGUGUGAAUGCAGGAGAUCCCAGCGGUGCCGAGUGCCAUUUUCUUGUUUCACUUUGUGUUCCAACGUGUGGCUUUGGAGAUACUCAUGGGUUGGUGAAGUAUGCUCAGUGGUUGCAUGUGUUGAAUGAGGAAUAUUUUGCAAUGGUAAACAUUUUGUUUUAUUCUUGAAUUUGUGUACCUUUAUGUUUAGAUGUAAUUAUGCAUUAAGUAUGAUUACCACAUUGACAACUAGAUGGCUGUUGAAGGUUAGCAUUGGGAAUGGUUUUAUUUUUCUAAACUAUUUAGCAAUAUUAAUUAAAUUCAGAAAAUUAAACAAAUUUAUUGACUUUAAGUAAUUUCUAAUUAAAAAUUAAUUCCAGGGAAAAAAUUUGUGAUCUAAAAAAAGUAAUUCCAUUAAUAGU